rnacentral:rRNA from 1 species
GACGUAGGGUGCGAGCGUUGUCCGGAUUUAUUGGGCGUAAAGAGCUCGUAGGCGGCUCGUCGCGUCGACCGUGAAAACCCGCGGCUUAACUGCGGGCUUGCGGUUGAUACGGGCGGGCUAGAGUUCGGUAGGGGAGACUGGAAUUCAUGGUGUAGCAGUGAAAUGCGUAGAGAUCAUGAGGAAGACCAGUGGCGAAGGCGGGUCUCUGGACAGUUCCUGACACUGAGGCACGAAGGCCAGGGGAGCAAACGGG